CACGUAGGGGGCGAGCGUUGUUCGGAAUUACUGGGCGUAAAGGGCAUGUAGGCGGUUUUGUAAGCCUGACGUGAAAGGCUAUGGCUCAACCAUGGCACUGCGUUGGGAACUGCGAGACUUGAAUCAUGGAGGGGGAGCUGGAAUUCCAGGUGUAGGGGUGAAAUCUGUAGAUAUCUGGAAGAACACCAGUGGCGAAGGCGAGCUCCUGGCCAAUGAUUGACGCUGAGGAGCGAAAGGGUGGGGAUCAAACAGGAUUAGAGACCCUGGUAGUCCACACUGUCAACGAUGUGCACUAGGUGCCGGGGCGGACGCUUCGGUGCCGGAGCUAACGCGGUAAGUGCACCGCCUGGGGAGUAUGCUCGCAAGGGUGAA
rnacentral:rRNA from 1 species